GACGGAAAAGGUGCGUCUGCGUAUUAAUUCACGAGAUGAGAAAUGAAGGGAUAAAGAUUUGGUUUCAAAGAUAUGAAAAAGGGUUUUUUUUUUUUUCCUUUUCCCACAAGAAAAAAAUAAAAUGGAAAAAGAUAAAACUGAUGAUGAUGAGUUUGUGAGAGUGGUUGGAGCAUUAAGAAAAGUGAAAGGUGUAGGUGGGAUGUUAAUGGACAUGAUUAUCACUCCCGUGAUAUACCCAAAAGAAAGAAGGAUUUUCUGAUCUGUUUUAUUUUCAUCACCUUUUCCCCUUCUAUUUUUAGCUCUAUCAAUUUCCCACUCUCCCAUCUCCAUCUUCUUUAUAAAACAAAAGUGUUUAGCUCUCUGGUCAAGUAGUUUCUGCAGUUACUGGAGGCCUAUCUUCAUCAACAGCAGUGAUCAAAAUGGAGAAUGAUCAAAUAAGAUGCAAGAAGGAUCUCAAGGUUGAAAUUCCAACAGGGAGUGAAACCAUGAUUCAACAAGCACCUACAUCAUGUACUUUGACAAGGCAACCCAGUGUUUCAAAGACCAACUGCCUUUGCUCUCCCACCACUCAUGCUGGUUCCUUCAGGUGCAGACUUCAUCGUACUCCGACCCUCCACAGAACCAAAAGCAUUGACGAUUCUUCUGCUCUUCACGACUCUCCACCUGCAUCCAACCCUAAUUCUACUCAUAAGUAAUUACAUAUAUGUCAAUAUCAUCUCCUCUUUGUUAGUUGUUACUGAAUGGUUCAACAAAAUAUGCACACACACACACACACAUAUAUAUAUAAACCAUCUUAAUUCCUGCACUGUUAAUCAUCCGUUGAUUGAUGUUAUCACAUGGUUCGUAGGAAAACUUCUAAAACUGCUUCUUUUGGAGUUUGAAUUGUUACCCAUAAAUGGCAGAUGGCUAGGUUCAUGCAGCUUUUAUGAAAGAAAUGGUGACUGAUCUGGGUAUGGCCUGUCUGUGAUCCAAAAAUCAUAUUGAUGUUGCAUUAUGGCUAUGCUUUUUUUAUUUCAUCUGGUUAGCUCAUGGUGUACAGACCAAUUAUGUACAUAUAUGUAUAUGUGUAUGUUUAUCUACCUGUAAGAUCCAGAACAAAUAUUAAUUUUUUUUUUCACCUCAAA